GUGGCUCACUUACAGACCUGAGGAAGGGGGUUCAUCCUUCACAUGACACAUUGAAAGGGCAAAGAAUAUCACUUCAAUUUCACAGGGAAGACUUUAAUUUGUGGAGUUGGUGUGUGACCCUGGCCUCACUGAGUUGAUAGCAUUUGAUGAUGUUACAUGGUCUUUUUGACUCAGAAUAAAUUCUCUGAGUUCUAAAAUGUCUACCGCUGCUGGAGAAAUACCUUUCAAAUAUGCUCUAAUGGUUCAAAAAUAUUAAAAUCUGGCAUCCUUCAAUUCCUAUCAUGAGACUUGGAAGGUAGAACUGAGGACCCAGAGGACGUAGCAGCUGGGAGAGGGCUCUGCAAACCUUUCCUGCGCUACCACGGUGGCCCUGGAGUCCUCCUAAGACAGACCACAUACAUGUUUAAGGAUACAAGACUCAAAGGAAGAGCCCCCUACAACCACCCAGGAAAUGUUGCUUCCUGCUCUUGAAAGCCAACACCAAACAGAGCUGAUGUGCCGUGAACAUAGGUGGCUCAGAUGCACCACAGAGUCCAUGGCUCCAACCUCCAGACACAGCACUGAUCACCUUGGAAACCACAAGCCCAAAGAACAGUGCCCACCAGAUGUUUUGACUGCUGGACACUCUACGGCAAAUUCCACACCGGACCAUUCACCAGAGCCUCGCCUCCUGGUGACUGCCCUGUGCGUCCCUCUAGCCCUCCUGGUACUUAGGCUAGACAGUCAUGUGGCCUUCGCUGUAUUGCUGAGAACCAGUGAGGGAACAAGGAUGGGAAGCGAAUCUCGAUGAUGCACGGUUACUUGCAUAGUUCAGGUUUCUUUUUUGUGAGCUGCCGUCUUCCGUCCUCCUCCUUUUGGAUGGACUGUGGCUGUGUAUGUGUGCUCAGUCGCUUCUGUCAUGUCUGACUUGUUGCAACCCCACAGGCUGUGGCCCACCAGGCUCCUCUGUCU
ensembl:lncRNA